AAUCCUCAACCCCAUCUUCCUUGUGAAGUGGUCAGUUGGACUUUGGGAGCUGCUGGCUUUGUGUCAGCUCUUCUGAAAUAGAUUAGCAGGGACCUUAUGUGCUGGACUGCAGCUCGGUAUUGAUAGUUGUCUUACCAGGUUGACAGUUAGGCAUUCACUCUGCUCACAGCCGUCUCUAGUUGAGACAAGUGACUUGACG
rnacentral:misc_RNA from 1 species